rnacentral:rRNA from 1 species
GAUGAACGCUGGCGGUAUGCUUAACACAUGCCAGUCGAACGGACUCUUCGGAGUUAGUGGCGGACGGGUGAGUAACGCGUGAGAAUCUGGCUUUGGGUUCGGGACAACCACUGGAAACGGUGGCUAAUACCGGAUGUGCCGAGAGGUAAAAGAGAAAUUGCCUGAAGAUGAGCUCGCGUCUGAUUAGCUAGUUGGUGAGGUAAAGGCUCACCAAGGCAGCGACCAGUAGCUGGUCUGAGAGGAUGACCAGCCACACUGGGACUGAGACACGGCCCAGACUCCUACGGGAGGCAGCAGUGGGGAAUUUUCCGAAAUGGGCGAAAGCCUGACGGAGCAAUACCGCGUGAGGGAAGAAGGCUCUUGGGUUGUAAACCUCUUUUCUUAGGGAAGAACAAAAUGACGGUACCUAAGGAAUCAGCAUCGGCUAACUCCGUG